rnacentral:piRNA from 1 species
UGUCAUGUGAAGAGCUACAUUCAAUAUU